rnacentral:tRNA from 1 species
GGAGAGAUGGCUGAGUGGCUUAAGGCGUCAUGUUACUAAUCUAUUGUAUGAGCUAUUUGUAUCGAGGGAUCGAGUCCCUCUCUCUCUG